UGUUGGGGAAGAAAUUUUUCCUAAUUUCCAAUCUUAACCUCCCUGGGUGCAACUUGAGGCCAUUUCCUCUUGUCCUGUUGGUAGCUGCCUGGGAUGAGAGACCAAUCCCCCCUGUCUUUCACCUCCUUUUCUCAGGUGGUGAUUCAGAGCAAUGAGGUCUCCCCUGAGCCUCCUUUUCUCCAGGCUGAGCCCCCCAGAUCCUCAUAAGAGGGUGGCAUGUGCAGACUCUUCCCCACCCAGCUUCGCUGCCCUUCUCUGGGCGCACUCCAGCGCCGCAGCGGAAUCACAGAAUUACAUUUGCACUCCUUGGCUCCCCGUUGCCCUCCCGAGAGCCCCGGGCCGUGGCUCGGCCCGUGAGGGAGGCGGGUGCCCGGCGGGCGGCGGUGCCGGCGGUGCCGCCUGUCCCGCCAGGCCCUGGCAGCGGCCGCACGGUGCCGUCACCGCUGACAGCUGAGGCUGAGCGGCUCAGGCAGCAGCAGAAAUCCCCUGGCCUUACAGACACAGAGGUCGCUCCGGUGAUGGCUGCAUGGGGAAGGCUGCAGUGGAAGAGAGGAGCCACUCGCACAUGCAAACAGGGAUAGGAAGCCUCCCUGACACAGGGGAGGGACAAGGGAUGCCUGGGGACAAGGAUGAGCCCUGGGGCAGCUUAGAAAUUGACUGUUAGGAGAUUGUCAAUUGGCGACGCCCUGGAGGAGAGUUAAACACGUGGACAGAACUUCUGUGUGGAACGUUUUGUUUCCAGCUAUGUACAUGAAAGGCAUUUUUGAGAAGAAAGUUGCUGCAGUCACAGCCUAGCAAAGCAAACUUACUAAUUAACUGCAGGCUGCACCACUUGCACUUAGCUACGUGCCCAGGCUGACAACACCGCCUUCAGUGCCGGUUUGCAAACAAAUUUAAAUAUUCAGUGCACAGCUUCUGGGAGAAAGGCCAUCUUUCUUCAUGCUGUAGCUUUGGGAUGUAACAUUUAUUAGUGACUUAUGUUUAUUUCCACUGUCUUUGUGAUGCCAGGAGAGUUAGGAGCAGGCUGAAUCCUCUAGCUGUAUACACCCAGUAGGGGUGGAGAAGGGAAAGAGCUACUAUGAGGGAUGGAGCAGAGGGAGGAAUGUGUAGAUGCCUGUGCAAUGCUGGUUGGCAGUAUGGCUGUCUGGAAAAACAAAAUCUCCUUUGUGGCAUACACAGAGGUUUAAAAUCUGUUUACACUGUGUGUCAGAAUGUAAAUUAUUUCUAUUUUAAAAGUACACCAAAAGUUAGUAAAAGCAAAGAAUAUCUCCACCAAGUGUCUGACAACAAGCCUCAAUUUCUUUUGGUCUUCUCUGUGUCUCCUUUUAUCAGUUGGCCAUUCCUUUUCUGCCAGGCUCACAACUUUGGUUCUCUGCUAAGUGAACUCCAUCUCUCUUGUCCUUUUUUCCUGCCGUCCUGGAAAAAUGAUGCCUUUUCUUUUUUGCUGGUCCCUCAGUCUGAGGAAUAGCUGCACUUAAUUUGAGAGGGAAAUGUUGAAAGCUUUGUCUGUCGGACUGUUUAUUGUGAACUCUUGGAGAUGGUUGGCGUUAGCUUUAUGCAGCAUCAAGGGUUUGUGAAUAAAAGUACACUUCUUCAGGCAAAUAAUGUGUUUCCUCCCCUCCUAAAGCACUGUUCCUAAAAAGGUUUCCUGCUCAAUUUGUAAAAACCUUAGAAUAGCAACUUCAACUUGAUAGGAAGCAUCAAACCCUUAUAUGUGAUAGAGACAAAAAAAAAAAAAAAAAAAAUACAGGUUCAAGUAUACACUUCUAGAGAAAUCUGACCUUAUUACUGGAUAAAUAAUGUUCAUCCCCACUUGGGAUUACCACAGUUUAAAUCUCUGGACAAUGAAGAGAAAUAAUUUAUAGACUCACAGCCUUUUUACUAGUUAAGAACAAGUUUCCAGAGAUUUUUCCAAGGCUGACCUAAAGUAAUCAAUUUGCACUUCUGACUUCAUAAUAUGACUUGUGAUUCCUCUAAUGCAUGUGCCCUCUCCUGCAAGUGUGCUCCAGCUGGUUUAUAUUCACCAUGACUGAAUUCAUACUUCCUAAUAAAAUUUCUGAGGGCGUGUUCUCUGGUGUUGCAAUGUACUUGAAGUGAUAAAUGAAGUGAUCCUGACAGAGUAUAAGCUGCAAGAUGAUAGGUUGUGUGUCUAUAAAUGUUAGGUGUCAUUAUCUGCUCUCCCAGGCCAUGGAGACCAUUUCUGCUCUUUAGUGUCUAAUAUAAUUUGACUCCUAAUUUCCUCUGCAGAAGAGACUAAGCUGGAAACAACUCCUACUUCUACCUCUAACACCUCUUGAAAACAUGCAUGAAUUCAUUUACUCCAUAUCAUAAUUAAUCAUUUUCUCUCUCAAUGUAAAAAUGUACAGUGUCAUUUACGUUGCACGUGUUCAUUUACUAUUUACACCAAUUUACUGUGAACAUGCCAGUGCCUACCGAGAUGAUGUUAAAUUCUCCAAUCCACACUUGAAUCUGCACUAUGAAGCAAAGAAAUGCACAUAAUUGGCAUUGCUGACAAUGUGGGAGUUUUAGGUGCUCACCUUGAAUCAACUUGGAAAAAAAACCCUCAUGAUUUUGAGGAUAGGAUUGUCAGUAAAAAUCAUUAUUGUCAGACCACACUGCUAUUUAUGCUAUCCAUGCACAUAUGGCACAGGUUCAUGAUGUUGCUUCUGCUCUGUCACGGUCAUUACGGACUUCAUCAAGAGCACCAUCCUUCUAUAUUCUCUUUAGAGUGAUGGUAAUUGAGAUGAAAGAUAGUCAAAAAGGGCAGGAACCCUUCUAUAAAGAUCCUUGAUUUGAAAGUACAAUAAAAAAAUUCAUCUUAAGAAAAGAACAUUAAAAUCAAUAAAAUGGGUGAAAGAACAGAAUCGUAUUUGAUGAUAGGCUGAAUUUGAUACUGCAAGAAUGCUGCAAUGAAAGAAUCUAAUAAUCUAAGUAGUGCUAGUCCAGUUAAUUAAAAAAGAAAAACAACAAACAAAACAACCAACCAACCAGACAAAAAAAAUUCCAAUAGGUCUGCUACCUUGUUUUUCCUUUUUUAAUGCACACUGAA